CUACGGGUGGCAGCAGUGGGGAAUAUUGCACAAUGGGGGAAACCCUGAUGCAGCAACGCCGCGUGGAGGAUGACGCAUUUCGGUGUGUAAACUCCUUUUAUAUCCCAAGAUAAUGACGGUAGGAUAUGAAUAAGCACCGGCUAACUCCGUGCCAGCAGCCGCGGUAAUACGGAGGGUGCAAGCGUUACUCGGAAUCACUGGGCGUAAAGGAUGCGUAGGCUGGAAAUCAAGUCAGGAGUGAAAUCCAACGGCUCAACCGUUGAACUGCUUCUGAAACUGGUUACCUAGAAUAUGGGAGAGGUAGAUGGAAUUAGUGGUGUAGGGGUAAAAUCCGUAGAGAUCACUAGGAAUACCGAUUGCGAAGGCGAUCUACUGGAACAUAAUUGACGCUGAGGCAUGAAAGCGUGGGGAGCAAACAGGAUUAGAUACCCCAGUAGUC
rnacentral:rRNA from 1 species